rnacentral:rRNA from 1 species
UACGGAGGGUGCAAGCGUUGUUCGGAUUCAUUGGGCGUAAAGCGAGUGUAGGCGGUUUGACAAGUCGGAUGUGAAAUCCCGGGGCCCAACCCCGGAACUGCAUCCGAUACUGUCUGGCUAGAGUCCCGGAGAGGGUGGCGGAAUUCCCGGUGUAGGGGUGAAAUCCGUAGAUAUCGGGAGGAACACCAGUGGCGAAGGCGGCCACCUGGACGGUGACUGACGCUGAGACUCGAAAGCGUGGGUAGCAAACAGG